rnacentral:rRNA from 1 species
UUAAAUUGAAGAGUUUGAUCAUGGCUCAGAUUGAACGCUGGCGGCAGGCCUAACACAUGCAAGUCGAACGGUAACAGGAAGCAGCUUGCUGCUUCGCUGACGAGUGGCGGACGGGUGAGUAAUGUCUGGGAAACUGCCUGAUGGAGGGGGAUAACUACUGGAAACGGUAGCUAAUACCGCAUAAUGUCGCAAGACCAAAGAGGGGGACCUUCGGGCCUCUUGCCAUCGGAUGUGCCCAGAUGGGAUUAGCUAGUAG